AUAAACAUCUGCCUAUUUGCCUAUCCAUGCAGAAGAGAAAAGGGUAGGGCAUGCUGUCAUCCAGCACAAGUCUCACCUAUCAAAAAGGAAAAACGUACUGAACUGAGGGAUCCAGCAUGGAACGAGAUGACAGGUGAGGCACAGCAACACAAAUAGGCAGCAGUGAAUUGGACAAAUCUGCCACCUGCAAGCAGAGAGCAUGAGCUCAGCUAGUGCAAGAAUCUGGUGGCUCUGUGCUGCCCUGCUGGAAGGUCUCCUGACGCCUCCGGACUCCUGCUUCCCUGUAACCACUCCAGUCUCUUCCUGUCACAAUGAAAUCAUUCCUGCUGCAGUGAAGGGAUUAAUUAGGUCUACCAGUACUUCACUACCCUCAAUCCUAACUGAAAAUCAGACAGCUUUUCCUGUUUCGCACGUCUGUGCUCAGAGAUGUGACUGACCUAACGCUUGGCACCUUAGAAAAAUCAUGCCCCAGUGUGGAUCAAGACUCAGGAAACAAAUCCUCUCCAUAACUGCGCAGAGCAGGGCAUAAGCUAAUGCCAGAAUGAUGUGAUGCUUGACGCUUUGACCUUGCUUUCUGUGCAAGACUCUCCAAGCUUCAUACCACUGGGAGCGCAUCAUUUGUGACGAGCAAAAAAGUCAGAGCAACUGGUUCUUAAAAGAUUUGUCAUAGUUUUGCUUUAAAAAUAAUUCAUCUCAUAGCUGAAUUCAGUAUUUUGGGUCAGUUAUAAUUGAAUCUGCUCAGACAGAGAAGUUAUAUGAGACUAAUUACCUACUGUCUCUACUCGAAGUAAAUAUUAAAGGCAAGAAAAAUAAACAUGGGCUGAAGUGUGAUAUGCAAAUCACAUUGAUAACUAUCAGGUUAAGACCAUGAAUUUAUAUUCUUUUAAUCAUUAUGAGGUUUAGAUGGUAUCUCCAGCAAAGAAAAGUCAGUAUGAUGGUAUAUGACUGUCUAUGAUUUGGUCCCUAAUUGCAAACAACAAAAAUACAUUAACCUGCUUGUAUCCUGUGUCUCAUUAUUGUCAUAAAAAUGAUAAGAAAAUUCCUUCUUUGUGAAAUCCAAGCUGCUUUACUCUUUUCAAGGACUGCUUUUGUAAGAAAGGAGAGUAAGGCUUAGGUCACUUAUACUGAAUAUAAGGUAGAGGGAGAUGUUUCAGAAGCAGAGCACUUUAAACAUCUUUAUUCCUACCAAAGUUAAUAAAGUGAAGCCAAUUCUGAGCACUUCUUCAAGCUGCAAUGGAUUUGCUAUUAGUUUUCCUGCAUGAAAAUAUGAUGAAGAACAUAAUUGGAGAAAAGAUAGUUCGAGAAAUAACUUCACAAUGGCAUUACUCUCAAAGAAAAGACAAAAUCAAAAUAUCCUGGGUCUGGUUAAGGCAGGCAAGGACUUAAAAUGAGACUGGGCAUGAAAGGGAUGGAGAAAAGAAUGGGGUGUAAGUUAUGACAUUUUCACCU
rnacentral:lncRNA from 7 species